AUUGAACGCUGGCGGCAUGCCUUACACAUGCAAGUCGAACGGUAACGGGCCUUCGGGUGCCGACGAGUGGCGAACGGGUGAGUAAUACAUCGGAACGUGCCCGAUCGUGGGGGAUAACGAGGCGAAAGCUUUGCUAAUACCGCAUACGAUCUACGGAUGCAAGCAGGGGACCGCAAGGCCUUGCGCGGACGGAGCGGCCGAUGGCAGAUUAGGUAGUUGGUGGGAUAAAGGCUUACCAAGCCGACGAUCUGUAGCUGGUCUGAGAGGAUGAUCAGCCACACUGGAACUGAGACACGGCCCAGACUCCUACGGGAGGCAGCAGUGGGGAAUUUUGGACAAUGGGCGCAAGCCUGAUCCAGCCAUGCCGCGUGCAUGAUGAAGGCCUUCGGGUUGUAAACUGCUUUUGUACGGAACGAAAAGCCUUCUUUUAAUACAGGAGGGUCAUGACGGUACCGUAAGAAUAAGCACCGGCUAACUACGUG
rnacentral:rRNA from 1 species